rnacentral:SRP_RNA from 1 species
GCUGGGCGCGGUGGCGCAUGCCUGUAGUCCCAGCUACUCGGGAGGCUGAGGCUGGAGGAUCUCUUGAGCCCAGGAGUUGUGGGCUGUAGUGCGCUAUGCCGAUCGGGUGUCCGCACUAAGUUUCGCAUCAAUAUGGUGACCUCCCGGGAGCGGGGGACCAUCAGGUUGCCUAAGGAGGGGUGAACCGGCCCAGGUCGGAAACGGAGCAGGUCAAAACUCCCGUGCUGAUCAGUAGCGGGAUCACGCCUGUGAAUAGCCAUUGCACUCCAGCCUGGGCAACAUAGCGAGACCCCAUCUCU